GAUGAACGCUGGCGGCGUGCCUAACACAUGCAAGUCGAACGGAUCCAUAUUGAAACCUAGUGAUGUAUGGGUUAGUGGCGGACGGGUGAGUAACGCGUGGAUAACCUGCCGUAUACAGGGGGAUAACACUUAGAAAUAGGUGCUAAUACCGCAUAAGCGCACGGUUCCGCAUGGAACAGUGUGAAAAACUCCGGUGGUAUACGAUGGAUCCGCGUCUGAUUAGCCAGUUGGUGGGGUAACGGCCCACCAAAGCGACGAUCAGUAGCCGGCCUGAGAGGGUGAACGGCCACAUUGGGACUGAGACACGGCCCAA
rnacentral:rRNA from 1 species